rnacentral:rRNA from 1 species
CUACGGGGGGCACCAGUGGGGAAUAUUGGACAAUGGGGGAAACCCUGAUCCAGCAAUGCCGCGUGUGUGAAGAAGGCCUGCGGGUUGUAAAGCACUUUCGGUUGGGAGGACUGCUUCUAGCACUAAUAUUGUUGGAAGUUGACGUUACCUUCAGAAGAAGCACCGGCUAACUCCGUGCCAGCAGCCGCGGUAAUACGGAGGGCGCAAGCGUUAAUCGGAAUUACUGGGCGUAAAGCGCGCGUAGGCGGCUAGAUCAGUCGGGUGUGAAAGCCCCGGGCUUAACCUGGGAACUGCAUCCGAUACUGUCUAGCUGGAGUGCAGGAGAGGAGAGUGGAAUUCCACAUGUAGCGGUGAAAUGCGUAGAUAUGUGGAGGAACACCAAUGGCGAAGGCAGCUCUCUGGCCUGAUACUGACGCUGAGGUGCGAAAGCGUGGGGAGCAAACAGGAUUAGAUACCCCAGUAGUC